rnacentral:rRNA from 1 species
GAUGAACGCUAGCUACAGGCUUAACACAUGCAAGUCGAGGGGCAGCGGGAUUGAAGCUUGCUUCAAUUGCCGGCGACCGGCGCACGGGUGAGUAACGCGUAUCCAACCUUCCGUACACUCAGGGAUAGCCUUUCGAAAGAAAGAUUAAUACCUGAUGGUAUGAUGAGAUUGCAUGAUAUCAUCAUUAAAGAUUUAUCGGUGUACGAUGGGGAUGCGUUCCAUUAGGUAGUAGGCGGGGUAACGGCCCACCUAGCCAACGAUGGAUAGGGGUUCUGAGAGGAAGGUCCCCCACAAUGGAACUGAGACACGGUCCAAACGCCUACGGGAGGCAGCAGUGAGGAAUAUUGGUCAAUGGACGAGAGUCUGAACCAGCCAAGUAGCGUGAAGGAUGAAGGUCCUACGGAUUGUAAACUUCUUUUAUAAGGGAAUAAACCCUCCCACGUGUGGGAGCUUGUAUGUACCUUAUGAAUAAGCAUCGGCUAACUCCGUG